CCGCUCUCAUGGCACGGGAAGGCUGGAGAGACACAGAUGACAUUCUAACUACGAGUUAUGAGUGACAACACUAAUACAGGGGAGAGAGGGGGAUACACAACAACACCUGCCUUAAUGUUGCUGGACCCCAGGAAGAGUAGCUGCUGCCUUGGCAGGAACUAACAGACCCCAGGAAGAGUAGCUGCUGCCUUGGCAGGAACUAACGGACCCCAGGAAGAGUAGCUGCUGCCUUGGCAGGAACUAACAGACCCCAGGAAGAGUAGCUGCUGCCUUGGCAGGAACUAACGGACCCCAGGAAGAGUAGCUGCUGCCUUGGCAGGAACUAACGGACCCCAGGAAGAGUAGCUGCUGCCUUGGCAGGAACUAAUGGACCCCAGGAAGAGUAGCUGCUGCCUUGGCAGGAACUAACGGACCCCAGGAAGAGUAGCUGCUGCCUUGGCAGGAACUAACGGACCCCAGGAAGAGUAGCUGCUGCCUUGGCAGGAACUAACGGACCCCAGGAAGAGUAGCUGCUGCCUUGGCAGGAACUAACGGACCCCAGGAAGAGUAGCUGCUGCCUUGGCAGGAACUAAUGGACCCCAGGAAGAGUAGCUGCUGCCUUGGCAGGAACUAACGGACCCCAGGAAGAGUAGCUGCUGCCUUGGCAGGAACUAAUGGACCCCAGGAAGAGUAGCUGCUGCCUUGGCAGGAACUAAUUGACCCCAGGAAGAGUAGCUGCUGACUUGGCAGGUACUAAUGGAACCCAGGAAGAGUAGCUGCUGCCUUGGCAGGAACUAAUUGACCCCAGGAAGAGUAGCUGCUGACUUCGCAGGAACUAAUGGGGAUCCUUAAUAAAUACAAAUACAAACAUCUAGUUCUUGUUGCCUAUUUAUAAAUGAUUUAUUAAAUCAUUAUUCAUUGAA